GAUUACUAUUUGGUUUGGUAGUCAAGUAGUUAGCAACCUCAGUACUAAAUAACAUAGCAUUUAUGACUUAGAUAUUGCGAAAUAGUUGAUUUGUAUCACAAGUUAGUAAUAAAUCUAUCAAGUGCUAUGAUUUUUAUGUGGCUUGGAUUUAUAUUGUAUGUAACUUUAUAGAUAAUUUUGAGCUAAACAUUUGAUAUAUAAACCAUUUACUCUUCAGUAUGUAAAACAAGAUAAGAUCCUGCACAAAACGUCAGGACUCAGUUUUCUUGUUUUACAAAUCUGAUAUACAUAUGACAGAGUCUAGUGAAUCCUGCUGAUUAAUAUCGGACAGGUUCAAUAUGGUUUUAGUUCAACAGUUUUGAAUGAAAAUGCUGUUGUAAUUGGUGUCCCCUUUUCACUGUGACAGAGCUUACCGUUGUGAGCUUCUGUUAUUCUCCUCCCAGGUAUUUCAUUAGAAUUAGAGCUAAUCUUCAGCCAAAUUGUUGCUGGUGGUAGUUUACACAUCAUUUGGGCCUAUGAAUUUGACAAUAGUAAA